AGUACUUACAAAAAUAAUAAAAAAAAAUUGAAAUUAUGUAAAUUAUACAAAAUGCAUUUAACACAUAAAACUAUUUUAACAAAAUAAAUAACAUUAUUAUUAUAUAAUUGUGUGUAAAUAAAAAAAAAAAAAAUGUUUAGUACAAUUUUUAAAAUAUUGAUCACUCUCUUUUUUAUAUGGACAUGGCUUUAUAAAAACAAAGAUCGCAUAGAAAAUGUAUUAAACUCAAAAUACAUUCGAUUAUUGGCUCAAUAUGAUAUCUCGCCAAGUGAAAGGUGUAAUCAUUCUUAUGUGGCAGAUUAUAAUAGUAGCAAAACAUGUGAACGUAAUAAUAAUAAAAAAAAUGUAAAACAUAUAGGGAAAAACAAAAUUUUUCAAAAUGAAAAGUAUAAUACCAACAAGUUAUUUUAUUUAUUAUAUAGGAAGCAAGAAUUAGUUAAAAUAUUAGCUAACCGAAAAGAACCCAAAAAAACGUUCAUACUAAAAAAAAAAUACAAUAUAAUCAAAACGAAUUUACUACAAAUAUAUGACGUUAUUAAAAAUGUCAUAUCAAAUGAAGAAUAUUUACAAAUGUUAAAUAAAAAAUGUGAAUUGUUAAAAAGUAGAAGCUUAGAUGAUAAUGACCAUACUGCAAUAUGCUACAACUCAAUGUUAUACUUAGUGCACAAACACUUCUUACUUACCAACAGUAAAGAAUAUUUUAAAAGGCUGUUUUUACCGUUACAACAACAUAAUCCCCAACAAUCCAAAUUUAAACAAAGAAAAUCGAAAUCGAAACAUUUAAGUCUAUUUAAAUGCUGUAAUACAACAGAUAAUCAAUUUAAGACUAAGUUACCUAAACAAAUGACAAAAAACGAGAUUUAUUUUAACGUAAAAAUGCCAUAUAUAAAAGGUUAUAAUUUAUUUAGUUCUUCAUUCAUUAAUGCAUUAUUAUUAUAUAUAAUUAUUAUUUUAGCUACAUCUUUGGGGUUAUUUUUUUUCGUAUUCACAUUAUGGGUAUGGUUACUAUUAAAAUGUAUGCACCGUAUAUAACAAAAUAAUAAAUAUAUAUAAUCUCUAAACCGAAUUGUACA
rnacentral:lncRNA from 1 species